CCCUGGCCUGGGAACUUCCAUAUGCCAUUGGUGUGGCUGGAAGUAUUUAAAACUUUAAGUCCUCUCAGCAUGGUGGCCUCUCACUUCCUGUCCUCCCUGUCUUGUCCUUCCCUUUCGGUCCCUCAUUUCUGAGGGCCUGGGCUUCUGAUCUUCCUCUGAUAUCCAGGGCCUCUGUAAAUACUGAGCAUGUGCAUAUGUGCAUAGCAAACCUCUAACAGACCCCCUUCAUGUAGAUGGGCCCCCACCCCACCACCCCCCAGAAAUGUCCACCGGAGCAGUCCAACUCCUACUCUGACUCCUGGUUCCUGCCUGUGCCCAUUUCUGACCAACUCCACAUUCUGGGUUUCACUAUUCAUGAAUUGUGACUUUUGUUGGCUUUUCUAGUUUCUCACUCUUGAUUUUCAUAUCCUUACUUCAUCUUGUAUACAUUUUCGAGCUUCUGAUAGAUUCUUCUGGGAACUGACUAUGGCUAAUUUUUAUCCCAUAUCCAGGUAGUAACAACUUCUCGAUCAUCUCCCUUUCUCUUACAGGUUCACUGCUGCCUAAAACAAUCUUUUGCCCAGAUGACAGUUCAGAGACAGGUGAGGGAAGGCUAAAGAAGGAAGAAUUUUUGAAGUUCACGGUUACCAUGUGUUGUGCAUCCCUAGAAAGGAAGGCGAGCGAGCUUCCUUCUUUUUUGAUCUUGGGAAGGCCACAUGUACAUCUACAGAACAUCUCUGCUGAUACAAUGUCAGCAGUAGUCUGAUCUAUCUUGGGCCUUUUUCCAGUGCUAAUGGCUAAGCUUCCAUGAGAUGCUAGAAUACCUUAAAAAGAAGAUGAUGUCAUUGGCUGAGACCCCUGUUCCCUAACCAAGACAAUAUCUCUGAAUUUUAAAUGAAAGCUACAUUGUGAGGUUUUGUUUUUUGUUUUUGUUUGUUUGUUUGUUUGUUUUUUUCUUCUCCCAUCUUAUAUCAUGGUGCUUACUAGAGGAAGUUUUAAUGGUAAUUAGGGUAGGAUUGAACUUGGAGAAUGUAAUGAAAUAUGGACAGGUUCUUAACCCAUAUAUGAACCUUUGCAAGAAUAUUUGCCUUUGAGCCAGCUUGAGCAUCUCAUUACUUAUGCCCAUGAUGCCAAUAGACUGAAUUGCAUAAUAAUUCCAAAGAUUCUAUCUGCCAGGCUCUUGUCUGUUUUCAUGAUGUAUUUAGAAGACUCUGAGAGGACCUGAUACUUCAGGAGAAAGUGCUGGUUUGGCCAGUGGAGACUAGAGGCACUUGUUCAUUUUCUGUUUGAGAAAAUGGCCAUUAUUUCUCCAAGAUGUUAUAAUUUAUAAAAGCUACUUACUCAUUAAAUGUAGUGUUUUUCCCUUCAAAAUAGGAAAGAUGAAUAUAAUUUUUUUCUAAAAAUCCUAUUACUAAUGUUAAUGAUUUGUAGAUCACUUAUUACUUUGCUUAUUGAUGGGGCUAUAGUGGGGUCUGAAAGUCUAAAACUUUACUCCCAUUAUUAUAGAUAUAUUCCUUCUAGUAAGAACUGAAAAACUGUUUGUACAUGUAAUUUUCUAAGUUUGUAAAUGUAACUUUAUAGGUAGUUGAAUCAUAAUUAAAGCUCUGAUUAAUUAUUCUA